rnacentral:rRNA from 1 species
UACGUAGGGUGCGAGCGUUAAUCGGAAUUACUGGGCGUAAAGCGUGCGCAGGCGGUUUUGUAAGUCAGAUGUGAAAUCCCCGGGCUUAACCUGGGAACUGCGUUUGAAACUACAAGGCUAGAGUGUGGCAGAGGGGGGUGGAAUUCCACGUGUAGCAGUGAAAUGCGUAGAGAUGUGGAGGAACACCGAUGGCGAAGGCAGCCCCCUGGGUUAACACUGACGCUCAGGCACGAAAGCGUGGGGAGCGAACAGG